AGAGUUUGAUCCUGGCUCAGGAUGAACGCUAGCGGGAGGCUUAACACAUGCAAGCCGAGGGGUAUAUAAUUGCUUGCAAUUAUAGAGACCGGCGGAUGGGUGAGUAACGCGUAUGAAACCUGCCCUACUCAUCAGGAUAGCCCUAGGAAACUGGGAUUAAUACUGAAUAACACUAAUAUCGGCAUCGAUGUUGGUUAAAAGAUUUAUCGGAAUAGGAUGGUCAUGCGUCAGAUUAGUUAGUUGGUAGGGUAACGGCCUACCAAGGCAAUGAUCUGUAGGGGGCCUGAGAGGGUGAUCCCCCACACUGGUACUGAGACACGGACCAGACUCCUACGGGAGGCAGCAGUGAGGAAUAUUGGACAAUGGGUGAGAGCCUGAUCCAGCCAUCCCGCGUGCAGGAAGAAUGCCUUAUGGGUUGUAAACUGCUUUUAUACAGGAAUAAACCACUUUACGUGUAAGGUGUUGAAGGUACUGUAUGAAUAAGCAUCGGCUAACUCCGUGCCAGCAGCCGCGGUAAUACGGAGGAUGCAAGCGUUAUCCGGAUUUAUUGGGUUUAAAGGGUCCGUAGGCGGGCAUAUAAGUCAGAGGUGAAAUCCGACAGCUUAACUGUCGAACUGCCUUUGAAACUGUAUGUCUUGAGUGAGAUUGAAGCAGCUGGAAUGUGUAGUGUAGCGGUGAAAUGCAUAGAUAUUACACAGAACACCGAUAGCGAAGGCAGGUUGCUAAGUCUUUACUGACGCUGAUGGACGAAAGCGUGGGGAGCAAACAGGAUUAGAUACCCUGGUAGUCCACGCCGUAAACGUUGGAUACUGUCUAUUGGAAUUUUCAGUGGAUAAGCGAAAGUGAUAAGUAUCCCACCUGGGGAGUACGUUCGCAAGAAUGAAACUCAAAUGAAUUGACGG
rnacentral:rRNA from 1 species